rnacentral:rRNA from 1 species
UACGAAGGGGGCGAGCGUUGUUCGGAAUUACUGGGCGUAAAGGGCGCGCAGGCGGCUCUGAAAGUCAGAUGUGAAAGCCCCGGGCUUAACCUGGGAAUUGCAUUUGAUACUCUGGAGCUUGAGUACGGGAGAGGAUAGUGGAAUUCCCAGUGUAGAGGUGAAAUUCGUAGAUAUUGGGAAGAACACCGGUGGCGAAGGCGGCUAUCUGGACCGUAACUGACGCUGAGGCGCGAAAGCGUGGGGAGCAAACAGG